UACGAAGGGGGCUAGCGUUGCUCGGAAUCACUGGGCGUAAAGCGCACGUAGGCGGAUUGUUAAGUCAGGGGUGAAAUCCUGGAGCUCAACUCCAGAACUGCCUUCGAUACUGGCAAUCUCGAGUCCGGAAGAGGUUGGUGGAACAGCUAGUGUAGAGGUGAAAUUCGUAGAUAUUAGCUAGAACACCAGUGGCGAAGGCGGCCAACUGGUCCGGUACUGACGCUGAGGUGCGAAAGCGUGGGGGGAGCAAACAGG
rnacentral:rRNA from 1 species